UGUUGCAGGAUUACUGAAGUUUUGUUAUGCCAAUGGCUAUCAUAUACAUAUUAGGAGAUGAACACAAGGACUAUAAUAAAUAGAGCCAUCCAUCCACAUUGCACUGGGUGUUCAUGAUUGUAACUCAAAUUACACUCUCAACAAGGAAAAAACUUGGUUGGGGCUUCAACUAUGAUAUUGAAGGAUGGGCUGAUACUUACAUCUAAAAAGGAGAAAGCUUAUGGUGUAGAUUUAUCAUGGGACUUCUAAGGCAUUCAAAACCUAGGCUCAAGUGCAAUUUGGCUCAGUUUGUGUUGCUGAUGGCGACUGACAAGUGACCUCAUAGUUGUUUAUGCUUAAUGAAGUGAAUUUCUGUUGCAUGUAAUCGUUAUAGCAAGUGUCAAAAUAGAGAAAUGUAACAUAAUAGUCUUCUUUUUAGCUACUAAGGCAAACUGUAUAUGCUGCCUAUGUGAAAAGGGUGCAAGUUUUCUCAUACUAUAUGUAUCUAGCUUUCUUUGACAAGUUUGUGAUUAUUUGAGGCCGUAUAUUAGUUUU